rnacentral:rRNA from 1 species
UACGGAGGGUGCAAGCGUUAAUCGGAAUUACUGGGCGUAAAGCGUGCGCAGGCGGUUUGUUAAGUCCGUUGUGAAAGCCCCGAGCUCAACUUGGGAAUUGCAGUGGAUACUGGCAGGCUGGAGUACGGUAGAGGAAGGUGGAAUUCCCGGUGUAGCAGUGAAAUGCAUAGAUAUCGGGAGGAACACCAGUGGCGAAGGCGGCCUUCUGGACCAGUACUGACGCUCAUGCACGAAAGCGUGGGGAGCAAACAGG